rnacentral:rRNA from 1 species
UACGUAGGGAGCAAGCGUUGUCCGGAAUCAUUGGGCGUAAAGCGCGCGUAGGUGGCCUCAUAAGUCCGCUGUGAAAGUCAAAGGCUCAACCUUUGAAAGCCGGUGGAUACUGUGAGGCUAGAGUACGGAAGAGGCGAGUGGAAUCCCUGGUGUAGCGGUGGAAUGCGCAGACAUCAGGAGGAACACCAAUAGCGAAGGCAGCUCGCUGGGACGUUACUGACACUGAGGCGCGAAAGCGUGGGGAGCAAACAGG